AACGAACGCUGGCGGCAGGCUUAACACAUGCAAGUCGAACGCAUCGCAAGAUGAGUGGCAGACGGGUGAGUAACGCGUGGGAACAUACCCUUUUCUACGGAAUAGCUCUGGGAAACUGGAAUUAGUGCCGUAUACGCCCUACGGGGGAAAGAUUUAUCGGGGAAGGAUUGGCCCGCGUUGGAUUAGCUAGUUGGUGGGGUAAAGCCCUACCAAGGCGACGAUCCAUAGCUGGUCUGAGAGGAUGAUCAGCCACAUUGGGACUGAGACACGGCCCAAACUCCUACGGGAGGCAGCAGUGGGGAAUAUUGGACAAUGGGCGCAAGCCUGAUCCAGCCAUGCCGCGUGAGUGAUGAAGGCCUUAGGGUUGUAAAGCUCUUUCACCGAUGAAGAUAAUGACGAUAGUCGGAGAAGAAGCCCCGGCUAACUUCGUGCCAGCCGCCGCGGUAA
rnacentral:rRNA from 1 species